GUGCUCGCUUUGGCAGCACAUACACUAAAAUUGGAACAAUACAGAGAUGACUAGCAUGGUCCCUGUGCAAGAAUGACACACAAACAUGUGAAGCGUUUCAUAAUUAA